CGUCGGUCAACUCGUCGUUUUGUGUAGGUUUGUUUGCCGUUUAACUUGCCUUGCAGGUUUUUUCGCCAUUCAUCUCAUUGUCAUCGUGGAUCUAUAGAUCUAGUCGUGGAUUUUUCAGAUCUGGUCGUCUAUUUGCCCGAUCUACUCGUGGGUCUUCCGAUCCUGUCGUUGGCGUGGUGAUUCCCAAAAUUUUCGAUCCAAGUCUUUCGAUCUGGUGGUUGUGGGUUUUUGAAAUCCGAUCGUUCAAGCUCGCCGUGCAGGAUUGUGUUUGGUGAAUCUGAUGGAAGAAAUGCCUCAACUCACAGAUCUGUUCGGGUCCCAGUGGAAGGUUGGGUUUUGGCAAUGGAGCUGGUAGCUAUGGAAGGAGUAGCAACUCAAACCUUACUUAGAAAGUAUCGUCUUAUCAGCAAUUCAAUUAAUUUUUAGUGGAAUGAGUUAGCAACUUAAUUGAAGAGACUGUUAGCCGUUUUUCUUUUCUUUUAGCUUAUGGGAAUAUUAUAAAUCCAAGUUUGUUAGAACUACGACUUUGCAAGAAUAAAUUUUGUUAUUCUUUUUGAGAGCUAA